rnacentral:misc_RNA from 1 species
UACAGAGGUCCCGAGCGUUGUUCGGAUUCACUGGGCGUAAAGGGUGCGCAGGUGGCUGAGAAAGUCGGAUGUGAAAGCUCCGGGCUCAACCCGGAAAUGGCAUCGGAAGCUACUUGGCUGGAGGUUUGGAGGGGGGACUGGAAUUCUCGGUGUAGCAGUGAAAUGCGUAGAUAUCGAGAGGAACACCAGUGGCGAAGGCGAGUCCCUGGACAACACCUGACACUGAGGCACGAAAGCUAGGGGAGCAAACAGG